CCUACGGGGGGCAGCAGUGAGGAAUAUUGGUCAAUGGGCGCGAGCCUGAACCAGCCAAGUAGCGUGAAGGAUGACUGCCCUACGGGUUGUAAACUUCUUUUAUAAAGGAAUAAAGUGAGGCACGUGUGCCUUUUUGUAUGUACUUUAUGAAUAAGGAUCGGCUAACUCCGUGCCAGCAGCCGCGGUAAUACGGAGGAUCCGAGCGUUGUCCGGAUUUUUUGGGUUUAAAGGGAGCGUAGAGGGGUUUUUAAGGCAGUUGUGAAAGUUUGGGGGUUAAACGUAAAAUUGCAAUUGAUACUGGCGGUCUUGAGUACGGUUGAGGUAGGCGGAAUUCGUGGUGUAGCGGUGAAAUGCUUAGAUAUCACGAAGAACUCCGAUUGCGAAGGCAGCUUACUAAACUGCCACUGACAUUGAUGCUCGAAAGUGUGGGUAUCGAACAGGAUUAGAUACCCUAGUAGUC
rnacentral:rRNA from 1 species